CACAUUAUGUUGAAAAUACUGGUUCCUGUACAAUCACUGAAGUUAAGCAAUCGUAAGCCUGGUCAGUACCUAGAUGGGUGACUGCUUGGGAACACUAAG